AAUUAAAUCUAUAUCUAAAUAUAGAUGUAAUUUAAACAUAUGCAAAGCAAAAGUAACAGGAAUUAUAAAAAUAAAUUUACUUUAUGGAAACAAGGCAAUUUUGGGGGAAAAAAGUUUUUGCCCCAGGUUUAGGUGGUUUUUCGGCUGCAUCAAAAUUAGCGUAUUUUGCAAAAUUGCAAUGGAAACACUUUUUUCCGCAUCAUACAAGUAAAUGUUAACAAUCGGAUGUUACUACUGGCAAAAAACAACAAAGAAGACAACAGGAAGCGGUAGAAGGAUGACAGGACAGCUUGUUUUUUUAAUGACUUAUCACGUGAACAAACUUAUUCACGUGUGAUUUUAAUCGCAUUUCUUAUUCAAUGUAAACACCGCAAGUGUAAAAUUCUCUCCUUUUUUUUUUUUUUUUUACAUUUUCCAAAUAUCAAGAAUGUUUUGUACACAUUUGUAAUGGAAACCCAGUGAGUGACCACAGAAAUUAAAGAGUAUUGGGUUUAUUCCAGGCAUUAAUGAACUAGGAAGAGAUGUAAAAUGGACAACAUUAGUAUUCUUGUUAACAACAUUAAAAUGAUAUACUGGAAAUGGAUUAACUAGUCAUCAUUCAGCUAACAUUAUCUACAUGCAGCAGCUUUACUCAACUUACACGGCUGAAAACAGUGCCGGGGACAGACGGUACAAAAACAGGAAGUGCGGGGAACAUGUCCCACAAAUAUCCCACAUUAACUGUAUACACAGUAUAAGCAAAUCUUAUACUGCAAGAACAUAUCAAAAUAGUUUUUGCAACAAAAAAAGCGGCAAAUGUUAUCACUUAGUGUCACACAUGCUUCAUCUUGCAGGCUUAGCUUCCAAGAAAUUAGAAGAGAGCAAAGUUGUAGUGAUUGGUGAGAAAAUGUUAGAGUAAUCGGUCUGAUUUGAGGAAAAGUUGCGAUGAUAGGUGAAACUUGCAAGUCUGCACGAAAUUUGCAAAUGAUGAGCUAAAGUAUUUCUGCAUGGGGUUUGAGUGUUCUCCUUGUGAAUGCUGGUUUCUCACCAGGUACUCCAACUUCCAGUCUAAAACCAUAAUUGGUCUCUCUAAAUGAGCCUUCGGUAUGAUUGUCUGUAAUGGCCUAGCAAUCUGUUCAGGGGGCAUCUUGCCUCUUGCCCAAUGGCCACUGGAGACUGGCAUCACCCCCCACAAUGAAUAGUUCAAUUUUUUCCUCCUUUCUUUUUAAAAAGCUGUUCACAAUAUGCUCCAACACCCAUGAAUCGUUAGACACAACUAGUGACUGUGAAUUAGUAUUCUGGUGGCUGAGCCGCUGCCACCUUCAGAGGUUAGAGGCUAUUACAGUGUCCAACAGAAACACCGGCGCGAGCGUAGGUCUGCUCUCCCCCUCGGGGGAAUCAGGAUUGAUGAUGUUCAUUUGAGAUCACAUCCGAAACCAAGUGAUGAAUGUAUUGAUGUUAUUCUGGCAGCCAGAACUCUGUGUGUGGGCGUGUGUGUGUGUGUGUGAGGAGUAAAACAGAAACAGAUCACUCAUCUAUUUUUUUUUCCUGCAGGAUGUGACUGGUUAUAAUUUAAUGGCCUGCUUUCAAGGGGCUCAACAGUGCCUGUUUAGGAGUGAUCCAGGCUGGCAUUAUAACCUAUAUACUCGUGAACCUGCACCACCUCCCACAGCCCAACAAACCACAUCGACUACUAUCAUCCUGCACAGGCCAAACCGGUUUUUCAUGGUUUUGUUAGACAAAAAAAAAAAUUCUAGAAAAUCCUGUUUGGUCGCAAACCUCUUUGGGAAACACUAAAAUCCUUUUCACCUUUAUUUGCAAAGAAGAAACACACUGAGCCAUUAAGCUCACGAAACUGAACAGCGGCGAGAACUUUCCACGCAGGAACGGAACAACACCAAAACAUGUAGUCUUUCCCAAAUAGAGACCCUUUAAUACUUCACGGCUUACUUAAACUGCAAAACAGAGCAGUGAAGCAGAGACUAAAUGAAAGUAGUGCCACUGUACCUGCAUGGAGCAUGGUAAAAGGGGUAUCCAGGAUGAGUGCCGGCGGUGGAAUCCGACUCAGGCGGCUCGGAGGCACGUAAGUUGGCACCGCUUGUUGCGCGUCUCGAGCGGCUCCAUGGGAAGAGAGUGAGAGGGUUGGAACGGCUGACGCGAUGAGGCAAGAGAGUGAUCCAAGGGACGAGAUGACGUACGGUGCAGUCAGGAUAGCGGACGCCUCUCGGACCAUGCAAUGAAGCAUGUGUCAUCACCGUACGUCUCAGUGAUUCAAAACAAACCACCAGGUGUUUUCAGUCUCACAGGUGUAGCUCUCCGUCCGACAGGCUUCAAGGCAAAUCAGAGUUGGCUUAAUAGUCUCCGACACCAAUUAGAAGCGGUUCACGCCAGAGGUAUUACCUCUCUAAACUUCCCAGGUGUCGCCGUACGUCUCUCGCAGAUACGAGAUCCUCGCCGGCUCUCCAGCCUCCUGAAGUGGCAGCGGCGCACGCAACUGAUCCACUGAGCACCACAACAGAAAGGAAGAGAGAAGGAGAGAAAGGCAGGAUAUGGCAGCGGGAGAGUGAAUCUACCAAGAGAGAGAGAGAGAAAGAAAGAGAGGAAGAGGUUCCCGGAGUGGAGCUGCCUUCUCCUUCCCGCGAAAUACUCAUUUAGCAGGAUACACACCGCAGGGAGGAGGAGAAAGCGUGUGUGUGUUUGUGUAUGCGUGUGAGAAUGUAAUGCUAUGUAAAUGAUGAAUAAUUAAAGACCUAAUUAAACACA